UACGAGGGGGGCAAGCGUUGUUCGGAAUUAUUGGGCGUAAAGGGUGCGUAGGCGGUCUGAUAAGUCAUCUGUGAAAUCUAUGGGCUCAACCCAUAGUCUGCAGGCGAAACUGUCGGGCUUGAGUAUGGGAGAGGUGAGUGGAAUUUCCGGUGUAGCGGUGAAAUGCGUAGAUAUCGGAAGGAACACCUGUGGCGAAAGCGGCUCACUGGACCAUUACUGACGCUGAUGCACGAAAGCUAGGGGGGCAAACAGG
rnacentral:rRNA from 1 species